AUUGAACGCUGGCGGCAGGCCUAACACAUGCAAGUCGAACGGUAACAGGAAGCAGCUUGCUGCUUCGCUGACGAGUGGCGGACGGGUGAGUAAUGUCUGGGAAGCUGCCUGAUGGAGGGGGAUAACUACUGGAAACGGUAGCUAAUACCGCAUAAUGUCGCAAGACCAAAGAGGGGGACCUUCGGGCCUCUUGCCAUCGGAUGUGCCCAGAUGGGAUUAGCUUGUUGGUGGGGUAACGGCUCACCAAGGCGACGAUCCCUAGCUGGUCUGAGAGGAUGACCAGCCACACUGGAACUGAGACACGGUCCAGACCCCUACGGGAGGCAGCAGUGGGGAAUAUUGCACAAUGGGCGCAAGCCUGAUGCAGCCAUGCCGCGUGUAUGAAGAAGGCCUUCGGGUUGUAAAGUACUUUCAGCGGGGAGGAAGGGAGUAAAGUUAAUACCUUUGCUCAUUGACGUUACCCGCAGAAGAAGCACCGGCUAACUCCGUGCCAGCAGCCGCGGUAAUACGGAGGGUGCAAGCGUUAAUCGGAAUUACUGGGCGUAAAGCGCACGCAGGCGGUUUGUUAAGUCAGAUGUGAAAUCCCCGGGCUCAACCUGGGAACUGCAUCUGAUACUGGCAAGCUUGAGUCUCGUAGAGGGGGGUAGAAUUCCAGGUGUAGCGGUGAAAUGCGUAGAGAUCUGGAGGAAUACCGGUGGCGAAGGCGGCCCCCUGGACGAAGACUGACGCU
rnacentral:rRNA from 1 species